GGGAGCUUAGCUCAGUAGGUAGAGCAACGGCCUUUUAAGCCGUGGGUCGCAGGUUCGAUCCCUGCAGCUCUCACCA
rnacentral:tRNA from 1 species